AUUGAACGCUGGCGGCAUGCUUUACACAUGCAAGUCGAACGGUAACAGGCCGCAAGGUGCUGACGAGUGGCGAACGGGUGAGUAACGCAUCGGAACGUGCCCAGUCGUGGGGGAUAACGCAGCGAAAGCUGCGCUAAUACCGCAUACGAUCUAUGGAUGAAAGCGGGGGACCGUAAGGCCUCGCGCGAUUGGAGCGGCCGAUGUCAGAUUAGGUAGUUGGUGGGGUAAAGGCUCACCAAGCCAACGAUCUGUAGCUGGUCUGAGAGGACGACCAGCCACCCUGGGACUGAGACACGGCCCAGACUCCUACGGGAGGCAGCAGUGGGGAAUUUUGGACAAUGGGCGCAAGCCUGAUCCAGCAAUGCCGCGUGCAGGAAGAAGGCCUUCGGGUUGUAAACUGCUUUUGUACGGAACGAAACGGUCCGGGUUAAUACCCUGGGCUAAUGACGGUACCGUAAGAAUAAGCACCGGCUAACUACGUGCCAGCCGCCGCCGUAA
rnacentral:rRNA from 1 species